rnacentral:rRNA from 1 species
AUUGAACGCUGGCGGCAUGCUUUACGCAUGCAAGUCGAACGGCAGCGCGGGCUUCGGCCUGGCGGCGAGUGGCGAACGGGUGAGUAAUACAUCGGAACGUGCCCAGUAGUGGGGGAUAGCUCGGCGAAAGCCGGAUUAAUACCGCAUACGACCUGAGGGUGAAAGCGGGGGAUCUUCGGACCUCGCGCCAUUGGAGCGGCCGAUGGCAGAUUAGCUAGUUGGUGGGGUAAAGGCCUACCAAGGCGACGAUCCGUAGCUGGUCUGAGAGGACGACCAGCCACACUGGGACUGAGACACGGCCCAGACUCCUACGGGAGGCAGCAGUGGGGAAUUUUGGACAAUGGGCGAAAGCCUGAUCCAGCAAUGCCGCGUGUGUGAUGAAGGCCUUCGGGUUGUAAAGCACUUUUGGCGGGAACGAAAAGGACUGUGCCAAUACCACGGUUCGAUGACGGUACCCGCAGAAUAAGCACCGGCUAACUACGUG